rnacentral:rRNA from 1 species
UACGUAGGUGGCGAGCGUUGUCCGGAAUUACUGGGUGUAAAGGGCGUGUAGGCGGGGAUGUAAGUCAGAUGUGAAAUACCACGGCUUAACUGUGGAACUGCAUCUGAAACUAUAUCUCUUGAGUGCUGGAGAGGGAAGCGGAAUUCCUAGUGUAGCGGUGAAAUGCGUAGAUAUUAGGAGGAACACCAGUGGCGAAGGCGGCUUUCUGGACAGUAACUGACGCUGAGGCGCGAAAGCGUGGGGAGCAAACAGG